rnacentral:rRNA from 1 species
GACGAACGCUGGCGGCGUGCUUAACACAUGCAAGUCGAACGGAAAGGCCCUGCUUGCAGGGUGCUCGAGUGGCGAACGGGUGAGUAACACGUGGGUGAUCUGCCCCUUAUUUUGGGAUAAGCCUGGGAAACUGGGUCUAAUACUGGAUAGGACCAUGCUGUAGGUGGUGUGGUGGAAAGAUUAGUUUCGGUAAGGGAUGAGCUCGCGGCCUAUCAGCUUGUUGGUGGGGUAAUGGCCUACCAAGGCGUCGACGGGUAGCCGGCCUGAGAGGGUGGACGGCCACAUUGGGACUGAGAUACGGCCCAGACUCCUACGGGAGGCAGCAGUGGGGAAUAUUGCACAAUGGGCGCAAGCCUGAUGCAGCGACGCCGCGUGGGGGAGGACGGCCUUCGGGUUGUAAACUCCUUUCAGCCAUGACGAAGCCCUUGUGGUGACGGUAGUGGUAGAAGAAGCACCGGCUAACUACGUG